CUCGUAGGCGGCCAACUAAGUCAGACGUGAAAUCCCUCGGCGUUAACCGGGGAACUGCGUCUGAUACUGGAUGGCUUGUAGUUUGGGAGAGGGAUGCGGAAUUCCAGGUGUAGCGGUGAAAUGCGUAGAUAUCUGGAGGAACACCGGUGGCGAAGGCGGCAUCCUGGACCAAUACUGACGCUGAGGAGCGAAAGCCAGGGAGCAAACG
rnacentral:rRNA from 1 species